GACGAACGCUGGCGGCGUGCCUAACACAUGCAAGUCGAACGGAGAUACGAUUUCGGUUGUAUCUUAGUGGCGAACGGGUGAGUAACGCGUGAACAACCUGACUCUCAGAGGGGGAUAACACUCGGAAACGGGUGCUAAUACCGCAUAAGACCACGACCCGGCAUCGGGAUGAGGUCAAAGGAGCAAUCCGCUGAGGGAGGGGCUCGCGUCCCAUUAGAUAGAUGGCGGGGUAACGGCCCACCAUGUCGACGAUGGGUAGCCGAGCUGAGAGGCUGAUCGGCCACACUGGAACUGAGACACGGUCCAGACUCCUACGGGAGGCAGCAGUGGGGAAUAUUGGGCAAUGGGCGCAAGCCUGACCCAGCAACGCCGCGUGAGGGAAGAAGGCCUUCGGGUUGUAAACCUCUGUCCUUGGUGACGAAACAAAUGACGGUAGCCAAGGAGGAAGCCCCGGCUAACUACGUGCCAGCCGCCGCCGUAA
rnacentral:rRNA from 1 species